UUUUUGUAUUACGACUAAAGGAACCGAAUUUAGGUGAUCUAAAAAAUUUUUGAUAUUUUUUCUCAUAAAAUCGAGAAUUAAGAAUAUUAGCACUAAAAAAGAAAAUCGGACCUAAAAAACUGAUAAAGGCAAUAUUUAUAAAAUAAACAAUAUAAUAAAUUACCUCAGAGGGUAAUAUUUUUAAAAAUAUAUUGAGCAUAAUAAAAAAAAUAAUUAAUUAGCCCCCUUAAUAAAAUAAUCUUUAGAUAAAUCUUAUUUUAAAGAACUAGAAAAAAUUUUUGUUCCCGGCUGUUUAACAAAAACAUCUCUUCAGUGUUAGAAGUAUGCCCUGCUCAAAUUAUUAGUAAAAAAAGCCGUAUAAUCGUAAAAGUAGCAUAAUUACUAGCCGUCUAAUUAGCGGAUUGUCUGAAUGGGUCAACGCGGGAUAAGUUUUCUUAAAAUUAAAAAAAAUGAGGUAAAAUCUCCCAUAAUAUUCCAUUAGACGAUAAGACCCUUCAAUCUAAAUAAUUUCGUUGGGGCAACAAAGGGAAAUAUAACCUUUUAAUAAGGUGAAAAACAUUUUUAUAUGAUACUGGAGGGAUAACAGCAUAAUAUUUUCCAUAAAGAUCUCAUUUUUGGAAAAGAGUAUGACCUCGAUGUUGAACCAGAGAAAAU
rnacentral:rRNA from 1 species